rnacentral:piRNA from 1 species
UGGGCUUGAUCAUCGCCUACCACACAC